rnacentral:lncRNA from 1 species
UCUAAAACUCCUUUUGAGGUGCAACCUGCCCUUUGGCUAGGAGGUAAGUUCAUGCUGAAUUGAGCUCAAAUAUUUCACUGAAGCCCUUUAGUAUUGGGUUUAUUGCGUUUUUCUAGAAAAAGGUGUCUGGAGAAUAUAGGGGUUAUCCAAUUAGACUUGUCACUGUUCCCUGAUGAAACUAUUUUCUGACCUUCUAACACCUGCUCCUAUAAUCUAUUGAGUGUUGACUCCCAUCUACAAGAGGAAUACACUGUAAUGAGAGGAUAGACACAGAUAAGAUCAGUCCCUAUAAACUGGCCCUGGAGGUUGAGGUCAGAAAGACCACUGACUGGCAAAAACAUUUCAAAACUUU